rnacentral:tRNA from 1 species
UGCUCGAUGGUCUAGUGGUAUGAUGCCAGGUUAGUGUUCUGGAGAUCGUGGGUUCGAGUCCCACACGAGAAA